CCUACGGGGGGCUGCAGUGGGGAAUAUUGCACAAUGGGCGAAAGCCUGAUGCAGCAACGCCGCGUGAGCGAUGAAGGCCUUUGGGUCGUAAAGCUCUGUCCUUGGGGAAGAAAAAAAUGACGGUACCCUUGGAGGAAGCCCCGGCUAACUACGUGCCAGCAGCCGCGGUAAUACGUAGGGGGCGAGCGUUAUCCGGAAUUAUUGGGCGUAAAGAGUGCGUAGGUGGUUUUGUAAGCGCGGGGUGAAAGGCUAUGGCUCAACCAUAGUAAGCCUUGCGAACUGUGAGACUUGAGUGCAGGAGAGGAAAGCGGAAUUCCUAGUGUAGCGGUGAAAUGCGUAGAUAUUAGGAGGAACACCAGUGGCGAAGGCGGCUUUCUGGACUGUAACUGACACUGAGGCACGAAAGCGUGGGGAGCAAACAGGAUUAGAUACCCUGGUAGUC
rnacentral:rRNA from 1 species